GAUGAACGCUGGCGGCGUGCUUAACACAUGCAAGUCGAACGGAAAGGCCCAAGCUUGCUUGGGUACUCGAGUGGCGAACGGGUGAGUAACACGUGGGUGAUCUGCCCUGCACUUCGGGAUAAGCCUGGGAAACUGGGUCUAAUACCGGAUAGGACCACAUUUUGGAUGGUGUGGUGGAAAGUUUUUCGGUGUGGGAUGAGCUCGCGGCCUAUCAGCUUGUUGGUGGGGUAAUGGCCUACCAAGGCGUCGACGGGGAGCCGGCCUGAGGGGGUGUACGGCCACAUUGGGACUGAGAUACGGCCCAGACUCCUACGGGAGGCAGCAGUGGGGAAUAUUGCACAAUGGGCGCAAGCCUGAUGCAGCGACGCCGCGUGGGGGAUGACGGCCUUCGGGUUGUAAACUCCUUUCGCUAGGGACGAAGCGUUAUGUGACGGUACCUGGAGAAGAAGCACCGGCUAACUACGUG
rnacentral:rRNA from 1 species